rnacentral:rRNA from 1 species
UACGGAGGGUGCGAGCGUUAUCCGGCAUCACUGGGUUUAAAGGGUGCGUCGGCGGCUUGGUAAGUCAGUUGUGAAAGCCCCUUGCUUAACGAGGGAGGUGCGAUUGAUACUGUCGAGCUUGAGUCGGGAUGGGGCAGGCGGAAUGUGGCAUGUAGCGGUGAAAUGCAUAGAUAUCCCAUAGAACACCGAUUGCGAAGGCAGCCUGCUGGGCCGGUAUUGACGCUGAGGCACGAAAGCGUGGGGAGCAAACAGG